rnacentral:rRNA from 1 species
GGAGUUAGCCGGUGCUUCUUCUGUGAGUGAUGUCCUUCCUGCCGGCUAUUAACCCGCAGGCCUUCUUCCUCACUGAAAGUGCUUUACAACCCGAAGGCCUUCUUCACACACGCGGCAUGGCUGGAUCAGGGUUGCCCCCAUUGUCCAAUAUUCCCCACUGCUGCCUCCCGUAGGAGUCUGGGCCGUGUCUCAGUCCCAGUGUGGCUGAUCAUCCUCUCAGACCAGCUACGGAUCGUCGCCUUGGUGAGCCGUUACCUCACCAACCAGCUAAUCCGACAUAGGCUCAUCCGAUAGCGCGAGGCCCGAAGGUCCCCCGCUUUCCCCCGUAGGGCGUAUGCGGUAUUAGCCUGGGUUUCCCCAGGUUAUCCCCCACUACCGGGCAGAUUCCUAUGCAUUACUCACCCGUCCGCCGCUCGCCACCAGGGAGCAAGCUCCCCGUGCUGCCGCUCGACUUGCAUGUGUAGCUGCCGCCACGCGUCAUCUGAGCCAUAAUACAACUACUCGA